rnacentral:rRNA from 1 species
CCCUUAGAUGUUCUGGGCCGCACGCGCGCUACACUGAUGCAUUCAACAAGCCCAGCCUUGACCGAGAGGUCCGGGUAAUCUUUGAAACUGCAUCGUGAUGGGGCUAGAUUAUUGCAAUUAUUAAUCUUCAACGAGGAAUGCCUAGUAAGCGUGAUUCAUCAAAUCGCGUUGAUUACGUCCCUGCCCUUUGUACACACCGCCCGUCGCUCCUACCGAUUGAAUGUGUUGGUGAGGAGCUCGGAUUGGCAGCAGUUGGUGGUUCGCCACCGGCUAUUGCUGAGAAGUCCUCCAAACCGCCCCAUUUAGAGGAAGGAGAAGUCGUAACA